CAGGUUUCCAUGUGCAUGAUUGCUGCUGAGCACAAACCCUCUUGUGGAUCUGAUUGGCCAUGACUGGCCUUUGACCCCAAAAGCAAUUACCAGGUUUCCAUGUGCAUAAUUUCUGGUCGACACAACUUUUCCUGUUAGAAAGGUAAAUGCCAUUAACCACAUUUUUAUGUGUGGAUGAAUACAUGACAGUAGCAAGAUAACCAAUACAAAGGCAUGC